rnacentral:rRNA from 1 species
ACUCAGGGGAGGCUAUGAACCUCCUUGUUGCUCCUUGGUGACAGAGGUUUACGACCCAAGGCCUUCAUCCCUCACGCGGCGUUGCACCAUCAGGGUUGCCCCCCAUUGUGAA